UUCCUGCAAGAAUCUCUUGUCAGUUACCAGUCCAGUCCUGCAUCUUGGGUCUUACCAGGCUCAGGUUUUCGUUACUCAUAUUUCUCUAUUUCUCUUACCUCAUAAAUGAAUCUUUCCAUUUCAGACCUAUCUUUGAGUCAAUAUCUCUUAAUGUCUUGAUCUGGGUUUUUUUUCCUUCCUUCUCCGAGGUGAUUGAACCCAGGUUCAGGAUCUCUUGCAUGGUAUUCAGUGACUUCCUGUGGCCACGGCUCCUCACUGCAGUCACCACCCAGCCUACUUCACACCCAUCAGAUCCUGCCAUGAAAAUCCCGAUCUCUCCAGACUCUCACUCCUUGAGGACUCUUCCAGGAGACAAAUGCUGAUUGCACACAUAAACUCCAGCCAAGGUAUGAGGCUGACUUGCUGUAAUCUACACUUUCUCAUCAGACUUGGCCACCCAACCCAUAUGAGAUAUGUCCUUUGCAUCUAUGGAGAAGGUUUUUCUCUGUUUUAAAGGGAGGAAUGAAAAGUAUCCAGCGCAUCAUAAUAAACAGAUAGCAAGGACUUCCUUUUCUAAAGAAAUUUGGAAACUUCAAAUCUCCUUUCUUACAGUUUUCAGUGAGACCUCAUUGUGAACUUUUUCUGAUGGAAAGAAGUAUUUUCAAGAAC
ensembl:lncRNA